GGCAUGGUGCUGGAGAAGAAGCCAAGAGUUCUACAUCUUGUUCCAAAGGCAAAGAAAAGAAGACUACUGUCUUCCUGGCAGCUAGGAGGACGGUCUCAAAGCCCACCCCCACAGUGACAUACUUCCUCCAACAAGGCCAUACAUCCUAAUAGUGCCAUUCCCUGGGCCAAGCAUAUUCAAACCACAACAGGACUCAAAAAUUUGUGACAGCAGUUGCAUGUGGGUUGGUCCUGGCACGACCUAGAGACUCUGGGUAUAGUAGUUCCUGCAUUUAAUCCUAGUACCUGGGAGGCAGAGGCAAAGGCAGAGCGAUCUCUGUGAGUCCAGGCCAGUCACAUAGUGAGAGCCCGCCUAAAAACAACGCAAGCAAAACCCCACGAAACAAACCUCCCUAAAACACACACAUAAAAAUGAGCUACACUUAUUAUUCAGAGCAAAUGUAUUCAGCUAUCUAUAAAAUAUGUAAAUUUCAAUGCAAUCAUAGAAGAUACAGCAGUGGCCAAAGCCUCAGGCUACAGAUCUGGAGUGUGAAAGUUAAUCUCUAGAGAAAGCUGUAAGAAAGCCGGUUGGUGGUGAUGUGUGCACUUGAUCCCUGCACUCUGGAGGCGAAGGCAGGUGGAUCUCUGUGAGUUCGAGGCCAGCCUGGUCUACAGAGCUAGUUUCAGGAUUGCCAUGGCUACACAAAGAAGUCCUGUUUCAAAACAAACAAACAAACAAACAAACAACAAACAAACGAAAAAUCCGUGAGAAUGGCAGGGUAUUUUUUUUAAAAGACAGGGUCACUUUCUAGUAGCAGGAGAAAUAGCACAGUGGUUAAGAGUGCUCACUGCUCUUGCGGGGGACCCAGGCUUGAUUCCCAACACCCACAUUUCAGCUCACAACUAUCGGUCACUCCCUUCCAAGGAAUCAGACAGGGCCUUACUAUGCAGUCCUGACUGAUCUGGAAUUUGCUAUGCAGACCAAGAUGGCUUCUAACUCCCAGAGAUCCACUUGCCUCUGCCAGAGUGCGGGAUUAAAGGUGUGCAACCUCACACCCAGCUCUGACAUUUCUAUCACCCUACUAAUUUAUUAUGUAUAGCACACUGGCUCUGGGCUUUCAUGUCGGCUGAGAACGCCUGCUUCCUUGAAUUCGUAGUGAAGUUGUUGGAGGUGAUAGUUCGUAGCUAAUUGCAAGGAAGAGCAAAGGACUGAUGACGAGCCACACGCAUCUGGGCGGGUUGAGGUGGGGGCAGGGCAAGUCACUGAAUACUUCCUAUCUGGGACCAAAAACCAGUUCGCCAUCCACCUUCCACGCAUGGCAGAUGAGAAUGAAGAGUGAGGGCUGAGAUCACAGCGACUUCAUCUCGUACGGUGGCAAAGCCACAGGAGGGCUUCAUGCAGGCGUGUGCUUCUGAUUAUCCUACAGAAAUGACUGGGACCACUGGUUGGCACUGAUGCAGGGCAUCCUCUCAGGAUGCUCUUCCCCAGAAGGCUCUUUUCAGGUCAGUACCACAACAUAACCCUCAUGACCACUGGGGGGUUAAGCUGACACACCUGGUGGCUAAGCUGACACACCUGGUGGCUAAGCUGAUACACCUGGUUUCUGAGUAGUGGUUGGUAAGGGGGAGGAAAGGACACGAUAAGCCCUGGGCUCUAGCCUGAGGUCAGAGAGGAGAGCAGGAGGAAGAGAUAUGGUUGGUGGCGGGCAUGCUGUGUAGGUCUGUUACAGAUUGGGAUUGAACCACACAGUAACUCUUUCCUUGGUCUUUAAAGCCCUGGCCAUUCAAAGCUCGGCUUACUUCUGAGUUAUUUCUCACCUGGUUUCCCAAGUUUACCUGCCAGACUGCAAAACUUGACUCUGCUACUCUCAAAGGAAAAACAGCCCCCACUAACUGCCCCUUUGCCCGUGGUUCACCCACGCACCCUCAUACCCACCUUUUUUGGAAUGCAGACUAUCUGUCCGUUAUUUUUGGAGGCCCUGCUUAAUCUCUGUAAAUCGAGAGACACUUUUCAGACAUACCUGGGUAAUGUUGUCAUGGAUGAUGUUUCAUUUGGCAAGAAGGAGGGAACCAAGAACUGGGCUUUAAUCACAGGAGUCUUUAGCUACGGAGGCCUGGCAGAGUCAUUUCAAGUCUACCAAGAACUGUCGGCAACCCCGGGAUCUGUUCUCGGAGGCAGGGAAAGGUGCUCCAAGAUUCAGACUCUCAUUUUCAUCUCUGGGAAGGAACUCUGGGUGUUGUUUGGUUCUCUCAAUAUCCACCACAUAAUAAAGUAGGAUAUGUAUUACAAAACCCUACCGCAAUGUACUUGGAGGGAACCUCACAGUUAUAAGACCAAAAAGGUUCUGCUCAAAAUUUUGUAAUUGAUUAGAUUUUAAAUUUCUCAUUCUAAGAGACCCAAGAGGCAGGCUCACCAUGAGAUUAUUAUAAGAUCUCAACAUCUUCCUCUAAGAGAGUGACCCAGAGCCCAGGAGAUGACUAUUAGAGCUGCAGAUCACCCAAGCAGCACAAAGUCUGAACGAGUCUCUUUUACUGCAUUAAAAAUAACUGAACAAACCCCCGCCUCUUCUCUCAUUUAAAAAGACUCUGAAGGGUCAACACUUUCCGAGAACCAGAUAAAUAGAAGAAUCCCAAGGACCUCAUAAAACUCCCAUUACACACGGAAAUUGUUUGGGGACAGAAUUAUUCUGUAAAUUGUGUCUCCUAGAGACCAGUCACAGUUAGAGUCCUGUAUACAGAGGCUGUCCCAUGGUGAUAUGUCACGAGAACAGUAACAACUGCUCAAUUGCUUCCAGACCUGGUCUUGGUCGCUUUGCUGCUCCUUUUGAUGAUGGAAAACCUCUCCUGCCUUUUCUCUUCACACUCCUGUCUCUCUCAACAGGGGUCAAGGACGGCAAGCCCAGCAGAGGAAGCACUAGAUAAAUUCUCGAAGUAACGAAGAAGCAAGCAUUGUUGGCCCAGUUCUAGAGAUGGGAAAA
rnacentral:sRNA from 1 species